CAGUCGCCGCGGGAAUACAGAGGAUGCAAGCGUUAUCCGGAAUGAUUGGGCGUAAAGCGUCUGUAGGUGGCUUUUCAAGUCCGCCGUCAAAUCCCAGGGCUCAACCCUGGACAGGCGGUGGAAACUACCAAGCUGGAGUACGGUAGGGGCAGAGGGAAUUUCCGGUGGAGCGGUGAAGUGCGUUGAGAUCGGAAAGAACACCAGCGGCGAAAGCACUCUGCUGGGCCGACACUGACACUGAGAGACGAAAGCUAGGGGAGCAAAUGGGAUUAGAUACCCCGGUAGUCCCUGUCUCUUAUAC
rnacentral:rRNA from 1 species